CCUACGGGCGGCAGCAGUGGGGAAUAUUGGGCAAUGGACGCAAGCCUGACCCAGCAACGCCGCGUGAAGGAUGAAGGCUUUCGGAUUGUAAACUUCUUUUCUGAGGGACGAAGCAAGUGACGGUACCUGAGGAGUAAGCCACGGCUAACUACGUGCCAGCAGCCGCGGUAAUACGUAGGUGGCAAGCGUUAUCCGGAUUUACUGGGUGUAAAGGGCGUGUAGGCGGUACAGCAAGUCAGAGGUGAAAACCACGGGCUCAACCUGGGGCCUGCAUUUGAAACUGUAGUUCUUGAGUACUGGAGAGGUAGACGGAAUUCCUAGUGGAGCGGUGGAAUGCGUAGAUAUUAGGAGGAACAUCAGUGGCGAAGGCGGUUUGCUGGACAGUAACUGACGCUGAGGCGCGAAAGCGUGGGGAGCAAACAGGAUUAGAUACCCGGGUAGUC
rnacentral:rRNA from 1 species